rnacentral:rRNA from 1 species
GGUUAAGCGACUAAGCGUACACGGUGGAUGCCCUGGCAGUCAGAGGCGAUGAAGGACGUGCUAAUCUGCGAAAAGCGUCGGUAAGGUGAUAUGAACCGUUAUAACCGGCGAUGUCCGAAUGGGGAAACCCAGUGCAAUUCGUUGCACUAUCGUUAACUGAAUACAUAGGUUAACGAGGCGAACCGGGGGAACUGAAACAUCUAAGUACCCCGAGGAAAAGAAAUCAACCGAGAUUCCCCCAGUAGCGGCGAGCGAACGGGGAGCAGCCCAGAGUCUGAAUCAGCUUGUGUGUUAGUGGAACGGUCUGGAAAGUCCGACGGUACAGGGUGAUAGUCCCGUACACCAAAAUGCACAGGCUGUGAACUCGAAGAGUAGGGCGGGACACGUGGUAUCCUGUCUGAAUAUGGGGGGACCAUCCUCCAAGGCUAAAUACUCCUGACUGACCGAUAGUGAACCAGUACCGUGAGGGAAAGGCGAAAAGAACCCCGGCGAGGGGAGUGAAAAAGAACCUGAAACCGUGUACGUACAAGCAGUGGGAGCACCUUCGGGUGUGACUGCGUACCUUUUGUAUAAUGGGUCAGCGACUUAUAUUCUGUAGCAAGGUUAACCGUAUAGGGGAGCCGCAGGGAAACCGAGUCUUAACUGGGCGUUAAGUUGCAGGGUAUAGACCCGAAACCCGGUGAUCUAGCCAUGGGCAGGUUGAAGGUUGGGUAACACUAACUGGAGGACCGAACCGACUAAUGUUGAAAAAUUAGCGGAUGACUUGUGGCUGGGGGUGAAAGGCCAAUCAAACCGGGAGAUAGCUGGUUCUCCCCGAAAGCUAUUUAGGUAGCGCCUCGUGAAUUCAUCUUCGGGGGUAGAGCACUGUUUCGGCUAGGGGGUCAUCCCGACUUACCAACCCGAUGCAAACUACGAAUACCGAAGAAUGUUAUCACGGGAGACACACGGCGGGUGCUAACGUCCGUCGUGAAGAGGGAAACAACCCAGACCGCCAGCUAAGGUCCCAAAGUCAUGGUUAAGUGGGAAACGAUGUGGGAAGGCACAGACAGCCAGGAUGUUGGCUUAGAAGCAGCCAUCAUUUAAAGAAAGCGUAAUAGCUCACUGGUCGAGUCGGCCUGCGCGGAAGAUGUAACGGGGCUAAACCAUGCACCGAAGCUGCGGCAGCGACACUAUGUGUUGUUGGGUAGGGGAGCGUUCUGUAAGCCUGCGAAGGUGACCUGUGAGGGUUGCUGGAGGUAUCAGAAGUGCGAAUGCUGACAUAAGUAACGAUAAAGCGGGUGAAAAGCCCGCUCGCCGGAAGACCAAGGGUUCCUGUCCAACGUUAAUCGGGGCAGGGUGAGUCGACCCCUAAGGCGAGGCCGAAAGGCGUAGUCGAUGGGAAACAGGUUAAUAUUCCUGUACUUGGUGUUACUGCGAAGGGGGGACGGAGAAGGCUAUGUUAGCCGGGCGACGGUUGUCCCGGUUUAAGCAUGUAGGCUGAUUAUCCAGGCAAAUCCGGAUAAUCAAGGCUGAGGUGUGAUGACGAGGCACUACGGUGCUGAAGUAACAAAUGCCCUGCUUCCAGGAAAAGCCUCUAAGCAUCAGGUAACAUCAAAUCGUACCCCAAACCGACACAGGUGGUCAGGUAGAGAAUACCAAGGCGCUUGAGAGAACUCGGGUGAAGGAACUAGGCAAAAUGGUGCCGUAACUUCGGGAGAAGGCACGCUGGUGUGUAGGUGAAGUCCCUGCGGAUGGAGCUGAGACCAGUCGAAGAUACCAGCUGGCUGCAACUGUUUAUUAAAAACACAGCACUGUGCAAACACGAAAGUGGACGUAUACGGUGUGACGCCUGCCCGGUGCCGGAAGGUUAAUUGAUGGGGUUAUCCGUAAGGAGAAGCUCUUGAUCGAAGCCCCGGUAAACGGCGGCCGUAACUAUAACGGUCCUAAGGUAGCGAAAUUCCUUGUCGGGUAAGUUCCGACCUGCACGAAUGGCGUAAUGAUGGCCAGGCUGUCUCCACCCGAGACUCAGUGAAAUUGAACUCGCUGUGAAGAUGCAGUGUACCCGCGGCAAGACGGAAAGACCCCGUGAACCUUUACUAUAGCUUGACACUGAACAUUGAGCCUUGAUGUGUAGGAUAGGUGGGAGGCUUUGAAGCGUGGACGCCAGUCUGCGUGGAGCCAACCUUGAAAUACCACCCUUUAAUGUUUGAUGUUCUAACGUUGGCCCCUGACCGGGGUUGCGGACAGUGUCUGGUGGGUAGUUUGACUGGGGCGGUCUCCUCCCAAAGCGUAACGGAGGAGCACGAAGGUUAGCUAAUCCUGGUCGGACAUCAGGAGGUUAGUGCAAUGGCAUAAGCUAGCUUGACUGCGAGCGUGACGGCGCGAGCAGGUGCGAAAGCAGGUCAUAGUGAUCCGGUGGUUCUGAAUGGAAGGGCCAUCGCUCAACGGAUAAAAGGUACUCCGGGGAUAACAGGCUGAUACCGCCCAAGAGUUCAUAUCGACGGCGGUGUUUGGCACCUCGAUGUCGGCUCAUCACAUCCUGGGGCUGAAGUAGGUCCCAAGGGUAUGGCUGUUCGCCAUUUAAAGUGGUACGCGAGCUGGGUUUAGAACGUCGUGAGACAGUUCGGUCCCUAUCUGCCGUGGGCGCUGGAGAAUUGAGGGGGGCUGCUCCUAGUACGAGAGGACCGGAGUGGACGCAUCACUGGUGUUCGGGUUGUCAUGCCAAUGGCACUGCCCGGUAGCUAAAUGCGGAAGAGAUAAGUGCUGAAAGCAUCUAAGCACGAAACUUGCCCCGAGAUGAGUUCUCCCUGAGACUUUAAGUCUCCUGAAGGAACGUUUCUUUAGCUCU